AAGAGAGUUUGAUCCUGGCUCAGGAUGAACGCUGGCGGUAUGCCUUACACAUGCAAGUUGUACGAGAAUUUUUAAUUCUAGUGGCGGACGGGUGAGUAACACGUGAGAAUUUACCUUUAGGAGGAGGACAACAGUUGGAAACGACUGCUAAUACUCCAUAUGCUUUCGAGUGAAAUAGAUUUAUCUGCCUAAUGAAAAGCUCGCGGCUGAUUAGCUUGUUGGUAAGGUAAUAGCUUACCAAGGCGACGAUCAGUAUCUGGUUUGAGAGGACGAUCAGACACACUGGAACUGAGACACGGUCCAGACUCUUACGGGAGGCAGCAGUGGGGAAUUUUCCGCAAUGGGCUAAAGCCUGACGGAGCAAUACCGCGUGAGGGAAGAAUGCCCAUGGGUUGUAAACCUCUUUUUUCAGGGAGGAAAAAAAUGACGUGUACCUGAAGAAUAAGCAUCGGCUAACUCCGUGCCAGCAGCCGCGGUAAGACGGAGGAUGCAAGUGUUAUCCGGAAUCACUGGGCGUAAAGCGUCUGUAGGUGGUUUAGUAAGUCGGGUGUUAAAUCUUGAAGCUUAACUUCAAAACCGCAUUCGAAACUGCUAGACUUGAGUAUAGUAGAGGUAAAGGGAAUUUCCAGUGGAGCGGUGAAAUGCGUAGAUAUUGGAAAGAACACCGAUGGCGAAGGCACUUUACUGGGCUAUCACUGACACUCAGAGACGAAAGCUAGGGUAGCAAAUGGGAUUAGAUACCCCAGUAGUCCUAGCUGUAAACGAUGGAUACUAAAUGUUGAACAGAUCGACCUGUACAGUAUCAAAGCUAACGCGUUAAGUAUCCCGCCUGGGAAGUAUGCUCGCAAGGGUGAAACUCAAAGGAAUUGACGGGGGCCCGCACAAGCGGUGGAGCAUGUGGUUUAAUUCGAUGCAACGCGAAGAACCUUACCAGGUCUUGACAUCCUCGGAAUUUGGCAGAGAUGCCUUAGUGCCUUCGGGAGCCGAGUGACAGGUGCUGCAUGGCCGUCGUCAGCUCGUGUCGUGAGAUGUUGGGUUAAGUCCCGUAACGAGCGCAACCCUUGUCCUUAGUUGCCAGCACGUAAUGGUGGGAACUCUAGGGAGACUGCCGGUGACAAACCGGAGGAAGGUGGGGACGACGUCAGGUCAUCAUGGCCCUUACGACCUGGGCUACACACGUGCUACAAUGGCUGGUACAGAGGGUCGCGAAGUCGCGAGGCGAAGCUAAUCCCUUAAAGCCAGUCGUAGUCCGGAUCGGAGUCUGCAACUCGACUCCGUGAAGUCGGAAUCGCUAGUAAUCGCGGAUCAGAAUGCCGCGGUGAAUACGUUCCCGGGCCUUGUACACACCGCCCGUCACACCAUGGGAGUGGAUUGCACCAGAAGUGGCUAGUCUAACUACGGAGGACGGUCACCACGGUGUGGUUCAUGACUGGGGUGAAGUCGUAACAAGGUAACCGUACUGAAGGUGCGGUUGGAUCACCUCCUU
rnacentral:rRNA from 1 species